GACGAACGCUGGCGGCGUGCCUAAUACAUGCAAGUAGAACGCUGAAGGAGGAGCUUGCUUCUCCGGAUGAGUUGCGAACGGGUGAGUAACGCGUAGGUAACCUGCCUGGUAGCGGGGGAUAACUAUUGGAAACGAUAGCUAAUACCGCAUAACAGUAGAUAUCGCAUGAUAUCUGCUUGAAAGGUGCAAUUGCAUCACUACCAGAUGGACCUGCGUUGUAUUAGCUAGUUGGUGAGGUAACGGCUCACCAAGGCGACGAUACAUAGCCGACCUGAGAGGGUGAUCGGCCACACUGGGACUGGGACAAGGCCCAGACUCCUACGGGAGGCAGCAGUAGGGAAUCUUCGGCAAUGGACGGAAGUCUGACCGAGCAACGCCGCGUGAGUGAAGAAGGUUUUCGGAUCGUAAAGCUCUGUUGUAAGAGAAGAACGAGUGUGAGAGUGGAAAGUUCACACUGUGACGGUAUCUUACCAGAAAGGGACGGCUAACUACGU
rnacentral:rRNA from 1 species